GAGGGUAUAGCUCAAGUGGUAGAGCGCACGCUUGCAUGCACAAGGUCCUGGGUUCAAUCCCCAGUAGCUUCU
rnacentral:tRNA from 1 species